CUCGGAGUUUGAUCCUGGCUCAGAUUGAACGCUGGCGGAAUGCUUUACACAUGCAAGUCGAACGGUAGAGGGGGCAACCCCUUGAGAGUGGCGAACGGGUGAGUAAUAUAUCGGAACGUGCCCAGUCGUGGGGGAUAACGUAGCGAAAGUUACGCUAAUACCGCAUACGAUCUACGGAUGAAACGCGGGGACUCGCAAGAGCCUCGCGCGAUUGGAGCGGCCGAUAUCAGAUUAGGUAGUUGGUGGGUAAAGGCUCACCAAGCCAACGAUCUGUAGCUGGUCUGAG
rnacentral:rRNA from 1 species